rnacentral:rRNA from 1 species
AGUGAACGCUGGCGGUAGGCCUAACACAUGCCAGUCGAACGGCAGCACAGUAAGAGCUUGCUCUUACGGGUGGCGAGUGGCGGACGGGUGAGGAAUACAUCGGAAUCUACUUUUUCGUGGGGGAUAACGUAGGGAAACUUACGCUAAUACCGCAUACGGCCUACGGGUGAAAGCAGGGGAUCUUCGGACCUUGCGCGAUUGAAUGAGCCGAUGUCGGAUUAGCUAGUUGGCGGGGUAAAGGCCCACCAAGGCGACGAUCCGUAGCUGGUCUGAGAGGAUGAUCAGCCACACUGGAACUGAGACACGGUCCAGACUCCUACGGGAGGCAGCAGUGGGGAAUAUUGGACAAUGGGCGAAAGCCUGAUCCAGCCAUACCGCGUGGGUGAAGAAGGCCUUCGGGUUGUAAAGCCCUUUUGUUGGGAAAGAAAAGCAGCAGGUUAAUACCCCGCUGUUCUGACGGUACCCAAAGAAUAAGCACCGGCUAACUUCGUG